AUACCUGCCUUCAGCGCCUGCCCCAGAGCUCCCAAGCCCCUGCCCGCCACAUCUGCAGUGCCGCACACAGACAGGAGACCAGCAUUACAGCAACAACCGAGGGGCCACUGCCUGAUGAAUUGCCAGAGGGGAACCACCAGCUCGGCUCUUAAUAACCGGAUCUGCAUCCUGCUGCUGCCCAGCUGGGCUGAGGGCCCUGACCACAGCUAAGGGGAGUCAUCACAGGGCUUCAGGGCUGGAAUUCCAGUGCUGCAGGAUGAGUGGCGCUGGUCUCGGGAUCCGCAGAGUCUACAGGGCCCUGGGCUUGGACACCGUCUCAGGGGUUUGUGCCUUCAGAGCCUGGUGGAGCAGCCAAGCAACUGGGCACAUGAAGACAAAGAUUCUGCGCCUGUGGAAGGAGAUGAGUCCCAGCCCCAGAUCCUUGGCUCCAGAGAACUCAUGGGCUCCCUGC
rnacentral:lncRNA from 1 species